GCACAAGCGGUGGAUGAUGUGGAUUAAUUCGAUGCAACGCGAAAACCUUACCUACCCUUGACAUGUUCAGAAUCCUGAAGAGAUUUGGGAGUGCCCGAAAGGGAGCUGGAACACAGGUGCUGCAUGGCUGUCGUCAGCUCGUGUCGUGAGAUGUUGGGUUAAGUCCCGCAACGAGCGCAACCCUUGUCGUUAAUUGCCAUCAUUAAGUUGGGCACUUUAACGAGACUGCCGGUGACAAACCGGAGGAAGGUGGGGAUGACGUCAAGUCCUCAUGGCCCUUAUGGGUAGGGCUUCACACGUCAUACAAUGGUCGGUACAGAGGGUUGCCAAGCCGCGAGGUGGAGCCAAUCCCAGAAAGCCGAUCGUAGUCCGGAUUGUAGGCUGCAACUCGCCUGCAUGAAGUCGGAAUCGCUAGUAAUCGCGGAUCAGCAUGUCGCGGUGAAUACGUUCCCGGGUCUU
rnacentral:rRNA from 1 species